AUCUUCUUCUCUCUCGCCUUCCAAAUCAUUCCAUCCAUCGCAUUCACUGCCCUCUCAUCCUCAACGCCACUGUCGGCGAAGACUCUCCCCCAUCAUCGUUGUGCCCCCUUUCUGUCUUCACUCCUUGUCCAAUCGAGCUUCUCUUCGACUUCGUCUCCCUCACGGCACCGUGUCUUCUUUGUCUUCCCUUCCUCUGCUGUCACCACGUUCUCUUUGUAUCCCUUUCAUCUGCCAUCACCAAUUCCAAACCCCACUGCUUCUCUCUCCAGACGCAAUCUCUCUCUCUGCUCGAGGUCAAAGAAGAUGCAGUGAAGCAAUAUAUGAAAGCGUGAGAGAGAGAUUUAGCAAAAAAUCACGAAUAUGAGAGCGUGAGAGACAGAGAUUUAGCACAACAGAAGCCUGAGCUGAGACUGAGUCUGGCGCCCAAGUUCAUUCAGCGAGUUGCACGGGGAAGCCCUUGCACUGAUUGUGGCUAGGAUGGGGAUGGUAGAAGAGUUAGAGACUUCCUUGUAAAUAUUACGAGGAUUUGAGACUGAUAUAUCUGUUGAAGUACAAGAAAUCAAUUUUGCUCAUUAUUCCUCCUAAAGUAGCAAAACAACUUUGAUGCUGUCACUAUGAUGCAUGAUGACCAGUGUGGACAAGGUGUGAAUUAAGUGUUUAGAAUCUGUAGUAAUAUCCAUUUGCUGCUAAACUGAAUUAUUUUUUUAGCGAUCUGCCGCAUCAAUGGGAAAAGACUUACCAUUUGAUUUCCAUAUUUCAAGAGAAAAAGAUAUUAGUUUCCUUUGAUGGUAUACUAUAAUUCAUCCCUAUAGCAUGCUAUAAUUCAACCUAUGAGGAGAACUACGAAUUAGGUAAGAGAUAAGAAUUUAUUGUUAUCUUUCUGUAUCAUAUCUUCUUGACCCUGCUUGUAACAUGAUCCAUAUAGCAGCAGCAUUCUUAGUCUGUGUUAUGAUUGAGAAGCUACCCAAUACUAUAUUUUAUUAGUAUCUCUUAUUGUUGCUGUGAGGAAAUUUUUGGAUGCAGUUAUAGAUGAGGAUGAAAAGACUGGGAAGGAAUGCAUCAAGGUGCUAAUGUGAUUUUGUUAUUUGCACAUAUUUUUAGGCUUUCAUCUUUUUUAAUGAUAAGUCAGUCAGCUUUAGUUCUAGAAAAUAUCUAUAUAAGAGGCCUGUGCAAUGCUGAUGUGAAAGAAGGUUUAAAUGGCAUUUGCAGUUGACAACUGGGGUAAUUUUCAAAAAUUUAAAGUAAACAUGAUAUAAUUUAAUGAGAAAUCCCCAAUGCUGUUGUGAACUUUACCUUAUAAUCUUCAUGUUGGGGAAAAAGAUCAUAGAUUCAUGUAUAAAUUUAAACAAACAUUUAUUUACUAUUAAAGGUGUUUCCAGGUUGAAGUAAAGUUUCUCUAAUAGAACAUAUGUUGUUGCUUCUUUUGUAAAAUGCUUUAUGUGACUUGCCACUGAAGGAAGGCCUUUAUAACUAAGAAAAGUAAUCAUUGGAUUUUACACAAAAUCUAUGUAAUACUACAGUAUGGAUUAUGGGCAGCAGAAGAGUUCAGCAUGUAAGAACUCGGGUUCAUUUUUUCAAAGCACUUUGCAAAUUCUCUUUAAAUACGCUUUUUAAAAUCUGGAGUUAGUAACUUAUGAUUCAAUUUUCUUCUCUUUUUCCCCAUUUCUAUCUACAAUUUUGUGGCUAUUUAAUGGUCUUUUUUGUCAAUAGCUUUUAGCAAAAGGGAAAGCCAAAUUUAUGAAAGUUUUUCAAUCAGUUUCUUUUCUUUUUUCCCCCUCUAUAUUUAUCAGCUAUAGCAUUUUAUGAAACUGAUGAUGCUCCUCAGGUUGAGUGUGGCUUAUGGUAGGUUGCUUCUCCUGGAGUCCUUGAAGCCAAAUUAUUUAACAGGUAAAUUUUUUUCAGAUGUUCUAAUUCUUUUUUUUCUCCAACAGAUAUUUUAUUUUUAUGAUGUCUGUUUGAAGGAAGUAGGGUACUUUGCAAUAUAAAUUUCAAGCAUUAAUAUUUCAUAUGUUGUUGCUUCUUUUGUAAAAUGCUUAUGUGAAUUGCCGCUGAAGGAAGACCUUUAUAACUAAGAAAAGUAAUCAUUCGAUUUUACACAAAAUCUAUGUAAUACCACAGCAUGGAUUAUGGGCAGCGGAAGAGCUCAACAUUUAAGAACUCAGGUUCAUUUUUUCAAAGUACUCUGCAAAUUCUUUUUAAAUGCUCUUUUUUAAAUUUGGAGUUAGUAAUUUAUGAUUCAAUUUUCUUCUCUUUUUCCCUAUUUCUAUCUAAAAUUUUGUGGCUAUUUAAUGGUCUUUUUUGUCAAUAAGCUUUUAGUAGAAGGGAAAGCCAAAUUUAUGAAAGUUUUUCAAUCAGUUUCUUUUCUUUUUCCCCCUCUAUGUUUAUCAGCUAUAGCAUUUUAUGAAAUUGACGAUGCACCUCAGGUUGAGUGUGGCUUAUGGUAGGUUGCUUUUCUUGGAGUCCUUGAAGCUAAAUUAUUUAGUAGGUAAAUUUUUUUCAAAUGUUUUGUUUCUUUUUUUUUUCCUUCAACAGAUAUCUUAUUUUUAUGAUGUCAAUUUGUAGGAAGUAAGGUACUUCGCAAUAAACUAAGGUAAUCUUGAUGAAUAAAUUUUAGAUAUUCCAAGAAUAUUUCAUUAAUGACACAAACUUGAAAUUUUUAUGUACAUUGAUCGAAUUAAAGCCACUUCAUAAUCCAUUAUAUGAAAGUUUUAUUGUCAAUUUUUCUGGUCAUAUGAAUUUGCAGGAGACCUUUUUAAGCUAUCGGUGUUGGAUUUGUAUUUAGGAAGAACUUUUUCAUGAAUGGAUCUUCUCUUUGUCCUUUUGUUAGGAUGUACAUGAAUUCUUGAACUUUUUCUUAAAUGAUCUGAUGGACAUUUUGGAAGGCUUCAAAAGAGAUCAACAGACCUCAUCACCUUCUGAUCCUGGGUCAAUGAAUCAUGACUUAUCACUUAUGUAACAUACAUAUAUUAAUAUUUUGCUCAGUAGGGAUUGGAAAAGUGAGUGAAGUGCAAAACAGAUAUAUUUUGGUGUUCUCCUUGUGGAUUGGAUGUUUCAAAAUCUAUUAUUUUCAGGCAUUGUUUUAGAA